rnacentral:rRNA from 1 species
CCUACGGGUGGCAGCAGUGGGGAAUAUUGCACAAUGGGGGAAACCCUGAUGCAGCGACGCCGCGUGAGUGAAGAAGUAAUUCGUUAUGUAAAGCUCUAUCAGCAGGGAAGAAAAUGACGGUACCUGAGUAAGAAGCCCCGGCUAACUACGAGCCAGCAGCCGCGGGAAUACGUAGGGGGCAAGCGUUAUCCGGAUUGACUGGGUGGAAAGGGAGCGUAGACGGCAGUGCAAGUCUGGCGUGAAAGGCGGGGGCUCAACCCCCGGACUGCUCUGGAAACUGUACGGCUGGAGUGCAGGAGAGGUCAGUGGAUUUCCUAGUGUAGCGGUGAAAUGCGUAGCUAUUAGGAGGAACCCCAGUGGCGAAGGCGGCUUACUGGACUGUAACUGACGUUGAGGCACGAAGGCCAGGGGAGCGAACGGGAUUAGAUACCCUUGUAGUC